UGAUAUUUGUACUUGUUGAGAUCCUGCAGCCCUCUGCCAGCCCAUGAAGCAGAAGUUAGGCAGGAGAAGGAAGCUCUGAAAUGAAAAUAAAGCAGGGGCUGGCGCCAGGGCUGGUGCCAGUGUUGAAGAGCCUCGUGCUGCUGCUCGCCCAGAGGAGCGCACUCG